GGCGGCGUGCUUAACACAUGCAAGUCGAACGAUGAACCGGUUUCGGCCGGGGAUUAGUGGCCAACGGGUGAGUAACACGUGGGCAAUCUGCCCUGCACUCUGGGACAAGCCCUGGAAACGGGGUCUAAUACCGGAUACGACCGCUGAGGGCAUCCCUGGUGGUGGAAAGCUCCGGCGGUGCAGGAUGAGCCCGCGGCCUAUCAGCUUGUUGGUGGGGUGAUGCCUACCAAGGCGACGACGGGUAGCCGGCCUGAGAGGGCGACCGGCCACACUGGGACUGAGACACGGCCCAGACUCCUACGGGAGGCAGCAGUGGGGAAUAUUGCACAAUGGGCGAAAGCCUGAUGCAGCGACGCCGCGUGAGGGAUGACGGCCUUCGGGUUGUAAACCUCUUUCAGCAGGGAAGAAGCGCAAGUGACGGUACCUGCAGAAGAAGCGCCGGCUAACUACGUGCCAGCAGCCGCGGUAAUACGUAGGGCGCAAGCGUUGUCCGGAAUUAUUGGGCGUAAAGAGCUCGUAGGCGGCUUGUCGCGUCGGAUGUGAAAGCCCGGGGCUUAACCCCGGGUCUGCAUUCGAUACGGGCAGGCUAGAGUUCGGUAGGGGAGAUCGGAAUUCCUGGUGUAGCGGUGAAAUGCGCAGAUAUCAGGAGGAACACCGGUGGCGAAGGCGGAUCUCUGGGCCGAUACUGACGCUGAGGAGCGAAAGCGUGGGGAGCGAACAGGAUUAGAUACCCUGGUAGUCCACGCCGUAAACGUUGGGCACUAGGUGUGGGCGACAUUCCACGUCGUCCGUGCCGCAGCUAACGCAUUAAGUGCCCCGCCUGGGGAGUACGGCCGC
rnacentral:rRNA from 1 species